UACGUAGGGUGCGAGCGUUAAUCGGAAUUACUGGGCGUAAAGCGUGCGCAGGCGGUUGUGCAAGACAGAUGUGAAAUCCCCGGGCUUAACCUGGGAACUGCAUUUGUGACUGCACGGCUAGAGUGCGUCAGAGGGGGGUAGAAUUCCACGUGUAGCAGUGAAAUGCGUAGAUAUGUGGAGGAAUACCGAUGGCGAAGGCAGCCCCCUGGGAUAACACUGACGCUCAUGCACGAAAGCGUGGGGAGCAAACAGG
rnacentral:rRNA from 1 species